CAGUGGAAUACCUCAUAGGAAGGUUUCCAGUUCAUAAAACACUUUGAAAACAUGCUCAGCCCUUUUAAGUUGAGGGGACAUUAUCAUUUCUAUCUAAGGCAUUUCUCUGCAAAUUGAACUCAAAUAUCCUUUGGGCUGACUACGCAGAGAACAGAAGAAAGGAGUGCAAGAAACUUGGACUAAAGAUUACCUCCCUGAAAGGUUCUCUUCAGGAGGAUUUAGGUGACAUCGGAAAACAGCACGUCAGUGGACUGCAGCCAGCUCCAUAUGGCUUGCCUUGGUUUUCACAGGAGUUCUAGAGCUGUGGGAAGGAGAACAUAGAAGCAGCAGGCCAUAGAGCUGCUAAGAUUAUAUCCUCUUGCUUCCUUGGGAAAAUACAACCUCAUUUCUUUGCAUUGUGCUCAGUCUGUGAACUUGAAGAUACUGGGAGUGCAACUUCCAACCAGAGAAGAUUCUAGAAGAAGGCUCUUCUCUGCACCAAAUAUGUGAGCUUCAGUCUCUAGAACAUGUUGUAUUCACUGGCAUCCUGGUGCGGUUGCACCAGAGUAAGGCAGCAUCCUGGUCAAGAAAAGACUUCAAUCAGAGUGAAGUCUGCCAAAGCCCCUGGGUGGCCCUGGAGCUCAGUGUGGGGGUAAGUCUUUGCCACAUGCUUCCUGAUUGCAGUUCAUUACUCAGAGUCAAUCUCGCUUCCUCAGGCAUUUCUAAGGAUGGUCCCUGCACUAAAACUCAGAGCCAGUGUAACAUGGGCUUAGCAACCAACGCGAAGGCAAUGUUUAUGCCCCUGUGACUUGUGAACCUUUCCAAUUAUUUGAGAUGCAACUAUUCUUUUGUGAAUUAAUUGUGAUUGGCAGAUAUUUUCACAUAUAUUUUAACCCACAUAUUUAUGUUACUUCAUAUACUUUCUGUAUUUGUUAACACUUUUUUGUGCUCUUCUAAUGCAAAGCCCAAAAUAUAUAAACGGAAACACGUUACAAUGCUGAAAUAAUUGCCACCUUUGCAAGAAUAAACAGAUUAUGGGGCCAGUGUUGCGACCCA
rnacentral:lncRNA from 1 species